GGACGAGGGUCUGUAGAGGAUGGGGGUUAUAGGUGUCUGGAAGAGGAGGACGAGGGUCUGUAGAGGAUGGGGGUUAUAGGUGUCUGGAAGAGGAGGACGAGAAGGGGUCUGUAGAGGAUGGGGGUUAUAGGUGUCUGUAGUAGAGGAGGAGGAGGGUUAUAGCUGUCUGUAGUAGAGGAGGAGGGGUUAUAGCUGUCUGUAGUAGAGGAGGAGGGGUUAUAGCUGUCUGUAGUAGAGGAGGAGGGGUUAUAGCUGUCUGUAGUAGAGGAGGAGGGGUUAUAGCUGUCUGUAGUAGAGGAGGAGGAGGGGUUAUAGCUGUCUGUAGUAGAGGAGGGGUUAUAGGUGUCUGUAGUAGAGGAGGAGGAGGGGUUAUAGGUGUCUGUAGUAGAGGAGGAGGAGGGGUUAUAGGUGUCUGUAGUAGAGGAGGAGGAGGGGUUAUAGGUGUCUGUAGUAGAGGAGGAGGGUUAUAGGUGUCUGUAGUAGAGGAGGAGGGUUAUAGGUGUCUGUAGUAGAGGAGGAGGAGGGUUAUAGGUGUCUGUAGUAGAAGAGGAGGAGGAGGAGGAGGGGUUAUAGCUGUCUGUGUACCAAUUUGUAAGUCGCUCUGGAUAAGAGCGUCUGCUAAAUGACUUAAAUGUAAAUGUAGUAGAGGAGGAGGGUUAUAGGUGUCUGUAGUAGAGGAGGAGGGUUAUAGGUGUCUGUAGUAGAGGAGGAGGGGGGUUAUAGGUGUCUGUAGUAGAGGAGGAGGGGGGGUUAUAGCUGUCUGUAGUAGAGGAGGAGGAGGAGGGUUAUAGGUGUCUGUAGUAGAGGAGGAGGAGGGUUAUAGGUGUCUGUAGUAGAGGAGGAGGAGGGUUAUAGGUGUCUGUAGUAGAGGAGGAGGAGGGUUAUAGGUGUCUGUAGUAGAGGAGGAGGAGGGGUUAUAGGUGUCUGUAGUAGAGGAGGGGGGUUAUAGGUGUCUGUAGUAGAGGAGGAGGGUUAUAGGUGUCUGUAGUAGAGGAGGAGGAGGGUUAUAGGUGUCUGUAGUAGAAGAGGAGGAGGAGGGGUUAUAGGUGUCUGUAGUAGAGGAGGAGGAGGGGUUAUAGGUGUCUGUAGUAGAGGAGGAGGGGGGUUAUAGGUGUCUGUAGUAGAGGAGGAGGGUUAUAGGUGUCUGUAGUAGAGGAGGAGGGUUAUAGGUGUCUGUAGUAGAGGAGGAGGAGGGUUAUAGGUGUCUGUAGUAGAGGAGGAGGGUUAUAGGUGUCUGUAGUAGAGGAGGAGGAGGGUUAUAGGUGUCUGUAGUAGAGGAGGAGGAGGGUUAUAGGUGUCUGUAGUAGAGGAGGAGGAGGGGUUAUAGGUGUCUGUAGUAGAGGAGGAGGGUUAUAGGUGUCUGUAGUAGAGGAGGAGGGUUAUAGCUGUCUGUAGUAGAGGAGGAGGGUUAUAGGUGUCUGUAGUAGAGGAGGAGGGUUAUAGGUGUCUGUAGUAGAGGAGGAGGGUUAUAGGUGUCUGUAGUAGAGGAGGAGGGGUUAUAGGUGUCUGUAGUAGAGGAGGAGGAGGGUUAUAGGUGUCUGUAGUAGAGGAGGAGGGUUAUAGGUGUCUGUAGUAGAGGAGGAGGGUUAUAGGUGUCUGUAGUAGAGGAGGAGGGUUAUAGGUGUCUGUAGUAGAGGAGGAGGGUUAUAGGUGUCUGUAGUAGAGGAGGAGGAGGGUUAUAGGUGUCUGUAGUAGAGGAGGAGGGUUAUAGGUGUCUGUAGUAGAGGAGGAGGAGGAGGGUUAUAGGUGUCUGUAGUAGAGGAGGAGGGUUAUAGGUGUCUGUAGUAGAGGAGGAGGGUUAUAGGUGUCUGUAGUAGAGGAGGAGGGUUAUAGGUGUCUGUAGUAGAGGAGGAGGGUUAUAGGUGUCUGUAGUAGAGGAGGAGGGUUAUAGGUGUCUGUAGUAGAGGAGGAGGAGGGUUAUAGGUGUCUGUAGUAGAGGAGGAGGAGGGUUAUAGGUGUCUGUAGUAGAGGAGGAGGGUUAUAGGUGUCUGUAGUAGAGGAGGAGGAGGGGUUAUAGGUGUCUGUAGUAGAGGAGGGGGGUUAUAGGUGUCUGUAGUAGAGGAGGGGGGUUAUAGGUGUCUGUAGUAGAGGAGGAGGAGGGGUUAUAGGUGUCUGUAGUAGAGGAGGAGGGUUAUAGCUGUCUGUAGUAGAGGAGGGGUUAUAGGUGUCUGUAGUAGAGGAGGAGGAGGGUUAUAGGUGUCUGUAGUAGAGGAGGAGGAGGGGUUAUAGCUGUCUGUAGUAGAGGAGGAGGAGGGUUAUAGGUGUCUGUAGUAGAGGAGGAGGGUUAUAGGUGUCUGUAGUAGAGGAGGAGGAGGGUUAUAGGUGUCUGUAGUAGAGGAGGGGGGUUAUAGGUGUCUGUAGAAGAGGAGGAGGAGGGGUUAUAGCUGUCUGUAGUAGAGGAGGAGGAGGGGGGUUAUAGGUGUCUGUAGUAGAGGAGGAGGGUUAUAGGUGUCUGUAGUAGAGGAGGAGGAGGGUUAUAGGUGUCUGUAGUAGAGGAGGAGGAGGGUUAUAGGUGUCUGUAGUAGAGGAGGAGGGUUAUAGGUGUCUGUAGUAGAGGAGGAGGAGGGUUAUAGGUGUCUGUAGUAGAGGAGGAGGAGGGUUAUAGGUGUCUGUAGUAGAGGAGGAGGGUUAUAGGUGUCUGUAGUAGAGGAGGAGGAGGGUUAUAGGUGUCUGUAGUAGAGGAGGAGGGUUAUAGGUGUCUGUAGUAGAGGAGGAGGAGGGGUUAUAGCUGUCUGUAGUAGAGGAGGAGGGUUAUAGCUGUCUGUAGUAGAGGAGGAGGGUUAUAGGUGUCUGUAGUAGAGGAGGAGGAGGGGUUAUAGGUGUCUGUAGAGGAGGAGGAGGGUUAUAGGUGUCUGUAGUAGAGGAGGAGGAGGGUUAUAGGUGUCUGUAGUAGAGGGUUAUAGCUGUCUGUAGUAGAGGAGGAGGGUUAUAGCUGUCUGUAGUAGAGGAGGGGGGUUAUAGGUGUCUGUAGUAGUGGAGGAGGGUUAUAGGUGUCUGUAGUA